ensembl:lncRNA
GUUUGGAUGCGACAACAGUUUGGAUGCGACAACAGUUGGGUUCUGAAUAUGUCUCGAAAUAAUGUAUUAUAAUAAUAUAAGAUACUAAUGAUAAAUAACGACGACAAUUAUGGUUUUCUGUGAAUAUCUUCCAUAACGUUACUAUAGUUGAUUAAGAUCUUCUCAGAAAUGAAUCAAGUCCAUGGAAUGGAUAUAGACAAAACGAGAAUUCAAGAACUAGCAGAGGUAGAGAGGCAGGGGUGAGGACAUCAUCCUGCUAUUUUGACAGUCCCUGAAGGACAAUACAGAAGAGAUUUCACCGCUCUUCACUCCUUUACUGCACAUCGGCGGAAAUCCAUUUCACCAUGAGAGUGAAAUCCCGCUGGCCUUUGAUGGGGAGAACUUCCACGCCCUCGAGGACGUCUCCGUGGGACUUGGGGCUCUGCUAGGGCUGUAUUUUUUAUUUUCCCUUAAAUUUGCUAUUUUGUAAUGUGUUUUGUUUGGUAAAUUGUUUUGUAAAUAUUAAUUCACAUUUGUGGUGCCACUAAAUAAACAAUUAUUAUUUAAG